rnacentral:rRNA from 1 species
CCCUUAGAUGUCCUGGGCCGCACGCGCGCUACAAUGACAUGUGCAACAAGUUUUUUUCCUGACUCGGAAGGGUUCGGGUAAUCUUGAUAAUGCAUGUCGUGUUAGGGAUAGAUCUUUGCAAUUAUGGAUCUUGAACGAGGAAUUCCUAGUAGACGUAGUUCAUCAGACUGCAUCGAUUACGUCCCUGCCCUUUGUACACACCGCCCGUCGCUCCUACCGAUUGAAUGCUCAGGUGAGCCAUUCGGACUUUCAUCAUGCUGGUUUCCAGUUUUGAUGAAGGAAAGUCUUGCGAACCUUAUCAUUUAGAGGAAGGAGAAGUCGUAACA